UACGUAGGGGGCUAGCGUUGCUCGGAAUCACUGGGCGUAAAGGGUGCGUAGGCGGAUCUUUAAGUCAGGGGUGAAAUCCUGGAGCUCAACUCCAGAACUGCCUUUGAUACUGAGGAUCUCGAGUUCGGGAGAGGUGAGUGGAACUGCGAGUGUAGAGGUGAAAUUCGUAGAUAUUCGCAAGAACACCAGUGGCGAAGGCGGCUCACUGGCGCGAUACUGACGCUGAGGCACGAAAGCGUGGGGAGCAAACAGG
rnacentral:rRNA from 1 species